UGAUAGGUUAGCUUUCCUUCCGUGAAUGCU
rnacentral:piRNA from 1 species